GGCAGAAACGUGGACUCAACGGUCCCUUCUCUCUCUACAAAGUUCCCAUUCAGAAACAAAAACAAGAAAAAAAAAACACACUCUCUUCUCUCUAGUUUUUUUUUUUCUCUCUCUGCAAUGUAGGUCGCCGGAGAUGGCAAACUUCCACCGUAACAACGUCGAGAACGUGGUCCUCGGUCACCACCGUUCCAAGAGCACCUCCGUCGCCGGUGGCCACUUCCGCCUAUGGCACUCCCUCUCCACCGCCUCCUUCCGCCGCCUGGUCUUCGAUGCCGUCAGCUGCGGCGCUAGCUCCCGCUACGCAGAGAGAUCGGACACGUCCUCCGAGAAACACCACCACCAAGCGAAACAACAGCACCGGCACAAGACGAAGCUGAAUAACGCAAAGUCGGAGAAGCUCUCGGAUCUGCUGAACCUCGCGGAGGUCGAAGCUGAUGCGGAAACGAGGAAGAAAGAGGACAAACUCGAGGAGCUGAAAAGCCUAGUGAAGGAGCUUCAUGAGGAGGAAGAGAAAGAAGAAGAAUCAAUGACGCGGAGAAGAGAAGCUGCUUGGAAGGUGAGGUUGCUAGCCAAAGAGGAUUUGGAAGUUAGAGGGACGCUCGCGAUGCUUGGAGCUAUUCCUCCUCUCGUCGCAAUGCUUGAUGAAUCCAAAAACGACGUCGAUUUGCUCGUUGCUUCUCUCUACGCGCUGCUCAACCUCGGAAUUGGAAACGACGCGAAUAAAGCAGCUAUUGUGAAAGUUGGGUCAGUUGAGAAGAUGCUGAAGCUGAUUGAGUCUCCAGAUGGUGUAGAUUCUUCGGUUUCUGAAGCAAUUGUUGCGAAUUUCCUUGGACUUAGUGCGUUGGAUUCGAAUAAGCCCAUAAUUGGGUCUUCGGCUUCAAUUUCUUUCUUAGUUAGAACCCUUCAGAGUUUAGAUGACAAGAGUAGUUCCCAAGCCAAGCAAGAUGCUCUACGGGCAUUGUACAAUCUUUCGAUCUACCCAGCCAAUGUUGCAUUCGUUUUGGAAACAGAUUUAGUUCUGUUUCUGGUGAACUCAAUAGGGGACAUGGAGGUAACUGAAAGAGCCCUUGCGAUUCUCAGCAACUUGGUGUCGACCCGAGAGGGUAGGAAGGCGAUUAGCGCAGUGCAAGAUUCGAUUCCGAUCCUGGUGGAUGUGUUGAAUUGGACAGAUUCGCCAGAAUGCCAGGAGAAGGCGUCCUACAUUUUGAUGGUUAUGGCACACAAGUCUUAUGGGGACAAACAGGCCAUGAUUGAGGCAGGGGUUGCGUCAUCACUGCUUGAGUUGUCCCUUUUGGGUUCCACAUUGGCUCAGAAAAGGGCUUCAAGGAUACUAGAAAUUUUGAGGGUUGACAAAGGGAAACAGAUUUCUGGGAGCUAUGGCUUGGGUGCUGCCGUCUCUGCCCCUAUUUGCGGCUCUUCGUCCGCGAAGCCGGAUGACGGAGGGAGGGAGUGUUAUGACGAGGAGGAAGAUAUGAUGAGUGAGGAAAAGAAAGCAGUGAAGCAACUAGUCCAACAGAGUUUGCAGAACAACAUGAGGAAAAUUGUGAAAAGGGCCAAUUUGCCUCACGAUAUUGUACCAUCGGAUCAUUUUAAGUCACUCACAUCAAGUUCUACUUCGAAGAGCCUACCAUUUUGAAGAAAUGCAGCAGGGAAGAGAGUAGGUUAAAGAGAAUAAACCUUGAGUGAAAUCUUACAUCUAUGCGAGUAAACCCAGUGUUUUUGAACUGAAAAUGAGACCCUCCAAACUAUACAAAUGGACAAUUAUCACGGUGCUGCAUAAGUUGUAUGAUGGGGUGCCUCCCAAUCAAGGGUAUGGUCUGCAAAAUUGGCUAAUCUUAGGGUUGCUUCAGUCAGGCCAUCGUUACAAGCGUCCCUACCUUCAAGGAGUCACUUUCAAACCACAGUACAUACGCAGAUCCAAAUGGCGUGGAAGAAAGAUUACAAUAUAGAUCUCUGAUUGGGAUGAAAAGCUGAGCUGUUCGUCGCAAAUAAGUAUGAAGGGUCAUUUUGUUCCCAUUAUGUAAAUGUUUCAUGAUGCCCUUGUGCUUGUGGGGUACGCUCAUUUGUAAUGUUAUCUCCUGCUGGUGGCUUUAAUUUUGUUGACUUUAGUGUAAAUAUUUUAUUGUCAAUGUAGUUUUGGUCUUAAUUAAUUGAGUUGUGCUCCCAUCAUGUACCAAUUAAGUGUAGAAUUUUCAUUUA